GGUGGGUCAAGGGACCCCACUUGUGGUGCUGUCUCACGGGUCAGAUCUGAAGUCCUCUGUGACUGGGUCUCCAUUCCUGCCGUCCUUCUGUGAACCACACAGGAUGUUUUGGGCCGACAGAUAGUGAAGCAGCUCCCCAACUCAUCAUCAAUGAGAGAAUCCAUAGUGGGGUUGACCCUGAAUGCCCCCAAGCAGGGCUACUCUCUUGGCCAUUCAUUCUCCCCACAUCCUGUAAUUCCUUCUAGAUAGAACAGGCCCCUUAGUCUUGCUUUCCCUAGCCCCUGGACCAGGUUUAACUUUUUUUUUUAAAGUUUUUUUUUCAGGUUUAACUUUUUAAUUCCCAGAUAUUCAUUCAUUCAUUCAUUCAUUCAUUCAUUCAUUCAGAGUCAUGUGUUCUGUGCUAAGCAGGAAGAGCAUCGUGUGGAAGGCUGAAGGUAAUGUCAAGGCAGAUUGGUGGCCGAGAGAAUACUGGGAAGACUGGACCUUAGGGAGGAAUCAAGGAAGGAACAGAGAGAGGCUCUAGGCAGCAAACAGAGCGGCUUUUGGUAAUUGCGAGGCCCUGUCCCUGGGGCCCUAAGCCACUCUCUGCCCUGUGUGCUGACAGACAGCGGUGGCCUCCCUGGCAUAGAGGGCAAACCCUGGGCAUCCAAGAUGAGAGGAGGAAGCUUGAGCUAGGUGGACCGGGGACAUGCAGGGAACAUGCCUGGAAACGGCUGUGGUAAUUUUCAGAUUUGCAUGUGAUUUGAAGGAAACCUGGGAACCUGGGUGCGGUGGCUCAUGGCUGAAUCCUAAGUCUCAGAGGCUGAUGCCGGAAGGGCAGCAUGAGGUUCUCAAGACCGUUAAGGCUAGCCUGGGCUACUCCAGGUCAACCUGAUCUAACUAGCGAGGCCUGAUCGCUGCAGCAGAACGAUGAGCCUGGCUGUGCAGACAGCCUUGUGCUGUGUGCUUAUCAAAGCUCUUGUUUGACUUGUUUUCCCGCGGUGAGUGCCUCUGGCUCUGACCUCUGCUCCACAUUGGCCAUUCCUCACCGGGUGGUUCAACCUCCCAGGUAGUCUGCUUUUCAUCUCCUGUAGUUAGCGGUACCUGGUUUUUGUCUUUUGAGCCAGCCUCACUAGCCCAGGCUGGCCUCAGGGAGAAUGACCUUGAAGUCUUAUCCUCCUGCCUCCACCUCCCUGAUGCUUGGAUCUCCCUAGUGACUGGUUUGCCUCCAUCCAACUUGCCUCUCAACAGAAGGAUCGCUGAGACGCUAAGCCAGCCUUCCAGCCUCCCCUUUCCUUCCUCUGCCCCUCGCAUCACCUACCAGCCCUCCGUUUCUAGAAUGUCACCAUUUCAUACUGUUCUAUAAAUGGAGCCCGCAGCCUGGCGUCUGCUGGGACUAGCUUUUUGUCUGGGUGGAUCUCCCUGGAGAUUCUCCCAAGCUGCUAUGCGAGUCCAGUCUGUCUGGACGUUUGCAGGUAUAGUCAGGGAAACUGGCUGGGAGCAUGCGCCGUCACGUGGAGGAAUCUGAGGUUGGAAUGUGGGGCAAGGAGCAGCCCAACCCUCCAAGCCCCCAAGUCACGUGGUCAUGGAGAGGGUAAACGAUAUCUCUCUAAAGUGCUGGGAUAGAGAAAGACCAGAGCCUAACUUGCUAAUGAAACGACGACGACGGGCACCAGAGAUAUAGGACUUCCCCCAGGAACGGUAUGCUGAGAGAGGGAAAAGGCACAGCCCAAAGGAGGACUCUUGGAAAGAGAUUCCCCACAGCUCCUCCCCGGAGGAGACUGAAGCACAACACAGACGACUCAGUGUGGGCGGGAGCACACCUUGGCCGGAACUGCAUAGCUGUGUAAAUCUCUGACUUCUAUUUAAACUUUGAUCUCUCUGUAGAGCGGUGGAUUUUGGCGGCAUUUGCUAGAUCUCUGUGUCUCUCUUCCCAAUGUGGCGACAUUAAAUAAAUCUCCCUUUCUGCCUUCCA